UACGAAGGGGGCUAGCGUUGCUCGGAAUGACUGGGCGUAAAGGGCGCGUAGGCGGUUUGGACAGUCAGAUGUGAAAUUCCUGGGCUCAACCUGGGGGCUGCAUUUGAUACGCUCGGACUAGAGUGGGGAAGAGGGUCGUGGAAUUCCCAGUGUAGAGGUGAAAUUCGUAGAUAUUGGGAAGAACACCGGUGGCGAAGGCGGCGACCUGGCCCUUGACUGACGCUGAGGCGCGAAAGCGUGGGGAGCAAACAGG
rnacentral:rRNA from 1 species